rnacentral:rRNA from 1 species
GACGAACGCUGGCGGCGUGCCUAAUACAUGCAAGUCGAGCGGAUGACGGAGGAGCUUGCUCCUCCUGAUUCAGCGGCGGACGGGUGAGUAACACGUGAGCAACCUGCCCUGUAGAUUGGGAUAACUCCGGGAAACCGGGGCUAAUACCGAAUAAUCCUUCGGACCUCAUGGUCCGAUGUUGAAAGACGGCAUCUCGCUGUCACUACAGGAUGGGCUCGCGGCGCAUUAGCUAGUUGGUGAGGUAACGGCUCACCAAGGCGACGAUGCGUAGCCGACCUGAGAGGGUGAUCGGCCACACUGGGACUGAGACACGGCCCAGACUCCUACGGGAGGCAGCAGUAGGGAAUCUUCCACAAUGGACGAAAGUCUGAUGGAGCAACGCCGCGUGAGUGAAGAAGGUUCUCGGAUCGUAAAACUCUGUUGUGAGGGAAGAACAAGUACCGGAGUAACUGCCGGUGCCUUGACGGUACCUCAUUAGAAAGCCACGGCUAACUACGUGCCAGCAGCCGCAGUAAGAC